rnacentral:rRNA from 1 species
UACGGGGGGGGCAAGCGUUGUUCGGAAUUACUGGGCGUAAAGGGCUCGUAGGCGGCCAACUAAGUCAGACGUGAAAUCCCUCGGCUUAACCGGGGAACUGCGUCUGAUACUGGAUGGCUUGAGAUUGGGAGAGGGAUGCGGAAUUCCAGGUGUAGCGGUGAAAUGCGUAGAUAUCAGGAGGAACACCGGUGGCGAAGGCGGCAUCCUGGACCGGCAUUGACGCUGAGGAGCGAAAGCCAGGGGAGCAAACGGG